AGCCCAGGGCAGUGUAGCCCCGCCGAGCCGGCUGCGCCCCGGGCCCGCCCGCCCCGCGGAGAACGGCACGGCCCGGCGAGCGCGGCCAUGGAGCGGUGCGGGGGCCGGCGGCGGGACUCUGGAGAUAGUGUUUCUGAACUGCGAGAAUGGAGACCAGUCAUUCACAGAAAGUGCACAGACACUUUGUGGCUGCUCCUCUUCUGUCUUUUCUGGGCUGGCUUGAUGUUUAUAGGUGGCUAUGCUGUGGUGGCUGGUGCUGCAGAAAGACUUGUGCUUGGAUAUGACAGCUUUGGGAACAUAUGUGGUCGGAAGAACACUCCUGUAGAAGGGGCAAACCUUUCUGGAUUGGACAUGACUAAUAAAAAGUACGUGUUCUUUCUGAAUUCAUGCAGCCUGGAAAUACAAAGCCUGAAAAUCAGUUCAGUUUCCUUGUGUGUGUCAAGUUGUCCACAAGAGCAACUCAACUCUUUGGAAGAUCUCCAGAGUUUUGCAAGGAAUAAUGGCUCUUUUCUUUGUGUUUACAACCUGAAUGUCUCCAGUUACACACAAAAUCCAAGGGCAGCUCAGCUGUGUCCCACACUGCCAGUUCCACCAAGUAAAUCCUUUCCAUUAUUUAAUCGAUGUGUUCCACAACAUCCUGAAUGCUAUUCCAAAUAUGCAUCUGUCCUAAUAAGUAUGGUUAAUGAAAUGGAUGUUUUUCAUCGAAUUCUCAGUGGAAUAUUGGCAGGAAGAGAUACUGUGAUAGGACUGAGUGUCCUUGCAUUAGCCUUCUCUUUGGGACUGGUUUUAGCCUUCAGAUUCAUUCAGCCCCUCCUCAUCCAUACUCUGAUUGCACUGGUUGUAUUCGGGUUGUUGUUUGUCUCAGGUGUUCUCUGGUGGCUCUACUAUGACUACAAGAAUGACCCUAGCACUGAACUGGAAACAGAAAAGGAAAAUGCAAAGUUCCUGCUUGGAUAUGCCAUCUUCUCAACAAUAGUUACCGUUGUUCUGCUUUCCCUCAUAGUUGUACUAAGAAAGAGGCUUCCGUUCGCUGUACAGCUCUUUCGAAUUGUUGGUAAAAUCAUUGGCAGAAUUCCUUUCCUCCUGUUCCARCCAUUCUGGACCUUUCUGAUUCUCAUUGUGUUCUGGGUAUUUUGGGUUGCUGUACUACUUAGCUUAGGAACUGCAGGUACUGCACAGUCCACUUCAGGAGGACAAGUAGAAUACAGAGCUCUGUCUGGAAUUUGCUACAUGGCAUGGUAUCAUUUCGUUGGCCUUAUCUGGACUAGUGAAUUCAUUCUUGCCUGUCAGCAAAUGGUGAUUGCUGGGGCAGUGGUUACUUGUUAUUUCAACAGAAAUAAAAAUAGUCCACCACCUCACCCAGUCCUGUCUUCCAUAUCAGUUCUUUUUUGCUAUCAUCUAGGAACUGCUAUAAAAGGUUCGUUUCUAAUCACAAUACUGAGAAUACCAAGGAUUGUUUUCUUGUACCUUUACAAUAUUCUAAACCAAAAGAAAAAUGCAAAGUGCCUUUUCAACUGCUGCUUCUGCUGUGUUUGCUGCCAGGAAAGAUGCUUAAGAUACUUUAACCAGCAUGCAUACACAACUACAGCCAUAAAUGGGACAAAUUUUUGUACAUCAGCAAAGGAUGCCAUCUGUAUUUUGGAAAGGAAUUCUGCUAAACUUGCAUCCAUUAGCUGUUUUGGAGAUUUUCUCCUAUUUUURGGAAAGGUGUUUGUGGUAUGCUUUACUGUUUUUGGAGGACUGAUGGCAUUUAACUACCACCGGGAGUUGCAAGCAUGGGUAGUUCCUCUCUUGCUGGUUGGAUUUUUUGCCUACYUGAUGUCCCACAGCUUUCUGUCUGUGUUUGAAGUGACAGCAGAUGCCAUGUUCCUUUGCUUUGCUAUUGAUAUGGAAACAAAUGAUGGAACUGCAGAGAARCCAUACUUUGUGGACCAGGAGCUGCUGGCCUUUGUGAGUCAGAGUAACAAGUUAACAGAAGGGCARAAACACAGAAGCACAAGACCAUUCCAGGAUAAUGAAGAUGGGACAGAGCUCCAGCCUAUGACUUGAAUAUCCUGACAUCAGGAAGUGUGGAAGCAGAGCAGCAAUAGAAAACACAGUCUAGAAGUAAAGGUUACCAAUACCCCAGGACAAAGUUCUCUAAACCUGUUGUAUCUUAUGCACUGGUAAAAUGACACACAAUCUGURUGAAUAAAGUAUUUUGUGUGUUACCAUAUCUGAUUUUUAUUACCACACUUGUUAUGAUGGUCUGAAAGUUGUUAAUAAACUCAAUUUUUGUAAAUUUCUAUAUUGUCAGACUAAAACUAGUAAAUCACCAAGGUCAUUCUGGGAGCUCUUCUGGUGUCUGCCAUCAUCCCUAGAUCAGUAAAUGCAGAAACAUUUSUAGAGGAGGUGUUCUGAAAUGACUACGUAUCUGAACAGCCAAUUAAGGAACAGACUGAGCUCACUGAUGGAAAUUACCCUUGAUAGAAAUUCUCAGUAGUCAAGAUAAUUAGCAGUUAUGAGGUAGGUGUCUUUCUUUUAAUUAUACUCUUAUGGGAAUAGUUUUUACAASUUCGUAUCAUAAACUGUCCAGCUCUUCUCCAAAGGGCAGAUGAGGAAUAGUCCUUCCCUCYUUCUUUCUGCAGUUGAAAAGAUGAAGCAGAAAAAAUUGUAUCUGGAUUUACAGCUAGACAAAGUAACAGAUGACAGCGAUGAAAUAACAGGACAGACAUGAGAUUAAAGGAGGUUAUGAAUAGUACUUUAUAGAAAUGUUAGUUCUAAUAUGGGUGUGAAAAGUAUCAUGGACGAAUGUAGCGACUGUCAGGACUCUAGUCAGAAGAGGAAUGUAAGUGUAGACACUUUAAAAAAAAACUAACGUGAUAACAGUCUGCCAGCAUUUUUUUCUGAGAAAUUUUAAAGCUUGUUUUAACUUUUUACCUGAAUCCUGAUUGUAAUACACUUUGUGGSCUCUACUUUGUUCUGAGUAUCGAGUAGUUUUAGAUUUUACUCAGUGGCACAUUUUAUUCUCUUUGUUCAAAAGCUCAUUUAAAUUUUUUUUGAGGCGAGGUUUGAGGUGGAAAAAUGAUGCCAACCAGGGAUUUCAGUCAAGUAUCUAUAUAGGAAGUGAGAUAUAACUGCAGACAAUCCCUAGAUGACCUUCAGAGGCCYCUUCCAAUGUCAACAACUCUAUGGUUCUSCUCAUUGCAAUUAUGAUGCAGUGUCAUUGCCUUCACUGCAGCUCCAGAGUGGAGAAAGGACUCUCAAGACACUUCCUACAAAUUCUAGGUUGAUUUUUAAAAAAGGAAGGUACUGAAAAAUGCCAAUUAACUGUAUUUGAGUGUAUUCUGUUUAAGGAAUGCUGUACUGUCAUUAGUCCAGAAAUWACAUUGUAAAAUAAAGUUUUUGAGAACUGUCUAUUUUUACAGAAUAUUUCCAAAUACAUAGCUUUUAAUUAAAUUUGUACAGAAAACAUAGCUUUGGGGAACAACUCAAGAACUCCCAAUCUUACAUACACUGUAUUAGCAAUUGUGCUAACAACCUCCAGCUGCAGCAUUCCUGUGAGGCAGGAGUCUUCACAUGAAUUAGAGGGAUAAGGCACUGGUACCAAAGCUGAUGCUAUUCAGUGUUUGUUUCUCAGUGUUGCCUUCCCCUGCAGUAUCCUGUAGCCAGACUACAGUAAAGGAGGCUGUAUGUAGGCACAGCUCCUGGCAACAACAGUUCCUGCUGGUGCUAAGGGCAGGCUAAGCCACUUCCAAUAAUUUGAGGUCUGCCCCGAAAUGGAGCCCAGUAAGUGUGGACUCUUCUUUCCUGAAGCUAUGGAAGAUUAGAUUCAGCAGAACAAAAGGUACUUUUAAAACUUUAUUCCUUAAAAAUAGCAGAUGGGGACUACUGGCAUCUGUUUGCCAGAAAAUGGCCAACUAUUGCAGUCUAUUGUUUUAAGCAAGGCAUCUUGAUUUUGGUCUCGCUUGGUGUCUGCUUCAAGCUCUCAAUUCAGCUAUGAUUUCACCGUAUACCUCUGUGGAUKAAA